ensembl:lncRNA
GGUAUCUCUGCUGUUUUCUUAUUGUUGCUUAGAUUUGCCUUAUUACGAUUAUUUUCUUAUCCAUGGUUUCAUUGGAAGAAACUAUUAAAGCGUCAAUUUUGACAGUCUUCAUUUAUUGAAAACUAGAUAAUAUAAUCUGAAAGUCUGCUUAACCAGGCACUUAUAUAUACUGUUAUACACAGAGUUAUACAUUACUAUCAUGGGAAGAGAAAGAACAAGUGAGGUGCUGGUGUCUUUUUUCUCCCUUAACAUUGUGGAAUUCCAUUUUCUCUCUCCAGAGACUCAAACUGUGUGAAUGUGGUCAUCUGAUAAAUGCAUCGCAAGGAAGAAAGAGAGAGAGAGAACAUCAGUAGAUGUUACUAGAAUUUAACUUUUCUUAUUUUAUUGUUUUAAAAAUAUCAAUAGAGGUUAACAUUUUCUCUAUCUUAGUAGGUCUCUGAAACAUCUUUCUUCAGUGGGUCCUCUCUCUGGAGACCACUAUUUGAUUUAUCAGCUUAAAUGUUACCUCUUUGAGAUGCAUUUCAUGACCACAUACCUGAAGCAGGUCUUGCUAUUCCUGCUCCAUGUGCUUUUUUACAUUUAUUAUGAUAUUUAUGCAUGUAUAUUUUUGUCUGUGAUAUACAGCUGACCCUUGACCAACAUCGGUUUUUAUUCACUGUAGGUCCACUCAUGUGUAGAUCUUCUUCCAUCUCUCCCACCCUUGAGACAGCAAGGCUAACCCCUCUUCUUCCUCUUUCUCCUCAGCCUACUCAACGUGAAGACAGUAAGGAUGAAGAUCUUCAUGAUGAUCCACUUCCACUUAAUGAACAACCUGUACGACUAUGAAAGUUCUGAUCAGCUUCUCAGUCUCAUGCCUGCUACAUGUGAACUGGUAAGUCCCUCAAGGGGAAAAUGGUCACAGAAUGUCUCUGUGCUCCCUUUCCUUCAAGAUCCUUGGACCCUCAAGUUCUGGCUGCCUUAGUAGUCCCCCAAGCUUACAAACAAAUAACUUUUAAGUAUUUGCAUUCAGGUUACCGUUAUUCUCAACAGGAACAUUUGUCCCUAAAUGCUAGUUGGUUGGCCAUUGUCAAAAGUGGAGAUAAAGUUUUACUUAUUUGAGGUGUAUUUAGAAGAAUAACUAGCACAUUAUUACUUAAUUUAAAAAGGAAGUCAUUUGAAGAAAAUAAAGUACCUAGUACACAAGUUACAUAUAAGAAACACUUGAUAUUUGCAGUUCACUGACUUAGUACAUAGAAGGUUUCAAUGUGUGUGCAGAUCUUUAUUACUUUUGCCUUGAUUCCUAUAAAAGUUCCCUUACUGGUCCCCCUGCCUUCUGUCUCUCACUUUCCUAUUCAGAAACAUACUUUAUACCUCAACCUGGAAUCUUUAUAAAACACAAACUUGUUAUAUCAACCUCUUGACUGGAACCUUUCAAUAGGUCUUAUGUUAGUGAAGCUUCUUUCAGAGUAAAAAUAUCUUGAAGAAUUAAGAUAAUUAUUUUCUUGCAAAUAAUAGAUCCAAAGCUAGCCAGUUUAAAAGUUGGUCAGUUGCAGUUAGUGAUGUCAGAGCCCUGCAUUGUUUCUCUAAAUGUCUUUUUGUUUUCUAUCUUUAGACACAAGAUGUUUGCCAUGGCUCCUAAAAUCACGACAAAAGCAUGAAGGAAUCAUGACAUUGUCGCUCUCUUUUAAUCACAGAGGAAAAUCUUUUCAGAAAUCCUCCAGAAACUUUAUCUCAUGCCUUACCGGCCAGGUCUGAGUCAUAGAUCAGCUUGCUGAAGCUGAGUCUGGGACAGUAUCUGUGAAGUCCAGCCUCCAUAGUGGGAGAUGGGCUGUGUCAGUAAAAAAGAAGUAGGUAGCUCCCAGCACUUUGAGAGACUGAGGUGGGCGGAUCACUUGAGGACAGGAGUUUGAAAACAGCCUGGCCAACUUGGUGAAACCCCAUCUCUACUAAAAAUAUAAAAAUUAGCCAGGCCUGAUGGCACAUGCCUGUAAUCUCAGCUACUUGGGAGGCUAAGGCAAGAGAAUAGCUUGCACCUAGGAGAUGGAGGUUGCAGUGAGUCGAGAUCACGCCACUACACUCCAGCCUGGGUGACAGAGCGAGACUCCAUCUCAAGAAAGAAGAAGAAGAAGAAAGAAGGAGGAGGAGGAGGAGGAGGAAGGGGAAGGGGAAGAAGAAGAAGGUGGCUGCAAAGAAGAAGAAUGUCUGGUUUCAGGCAAAUACUAGUAUAUUCCCCAGCUACUAUUUUUUUUACAUGAUAAAGUCUAAACCUCUUAUUAUUAUGUUUUGGUAAUUUUUUUAUAUUGCAAGAAACCCAUACCACACUCAAGUGAUAAUUAGCAUAUAUUGAAGAGAUAUAGGGGAAACAGAAAAGAACAGGAAACUAAUUCAAUAGGCCUCAAGGAUAACUGGACAUGAACCAGCCUCGACCACACCAGCUCUGAGCUCAUCCAGAGCAGAUGAGCUUAAGUGAGAGUCUCAGAACUCUACUCAGAUGCAUUGCUUGUGUUGAAUCAGUUCCUCUCUGACUCUCCUGUCUCCAAUGCUCAUGUCUCUCAACCAUUUCUUUUCCUGUCUACUGCUCCUGAUCAUUGCCCUGUGU